rnacentral:rRNA from 1 species
GACGAACCGAGCGAACGUUGUUCGGAAUCACUGGGCUUAAAGGGCGCGUAGGCGGGCAUUCAAGUCUGUGGUGAAAUCCGGCAGCUUAACUGUCGAAUUGCCAUGGAUACUGGGUGUCUCGAGGGAGGCAGGGGUGCGCGGAACUAAUGGUGGAGCGGUGAAAUGCGUUGAUAUCAUUAGGAACUCCGGUGGCGAAGGCGGCGCACUGGUCCUUUUCUGACGCUGAGGCGCGAAAGCCAGGGGAGCAAACGGGG